UGGGGAAUAUUGGACAAUGGGCGAAAGCCUGAUCCAGCCAUGCUGCGUGUGUGAAGAAGGUCUUCGGAUUGUAAAGCACUUUAAGUUGGGAGGAAGGGUUGUAGAUUAAUACUCUGCAAUUUUGACGUUACCGACAGAAUAAGCACCGGCUAACUCUGUGCCAGCAGCCGCGGUAAUACAGAGGGUGCAAGCGUUAAUCGGAAUUACUGGGCGUAAAGCGCGCGUAGGUGGUUAGUUAAGUUGGAUGUGAAAUCCCCGGGCUCAACCUGGGAACUGCAUUCAAAACUGACUGACUAGAGUAUGGUAGAGGGUGGUGGAAUUUCCUGUGUAGCGGUGAAAUGCGUAGAUAUAGGAAGGAACACCAGUGGCGAAGGCGACCACCUGGACUGAUACUGACACUGAGGUGCGAAAGCGUGGGGAGCAAACA
rnacentral:rRNA from 1 species